rnacentral:rRNA from 1 species
UGGCGGCAUGCCUUACACAUGCAAGUCGAACGGCAGCACGGACUUCGGUCUGGUGGCGAGUGGCGAACGGGUGAGUAAUACAUCGGAACGUGUCCUGGAGUGGGGGAUAGCCCGGCGAAAGCCGGAUUAAUACCGCAUACGCUCUGUGGAGGAAAGCGGGGGAUCUUCGGACCUCGCGGCUCAAGGGGCGGCCGAUGGCAGAUUAGCUAGUUGGUGGGGUAAAGGCCUACCAAGGCGACGAUCUGUAGCUGGUCUGAGAGGACGACCAGCCACACUGGGACUGAGACACGGCCCAGACUCCUACGGGAGGCAGCAGUGGGGAAUUUUGGACAAUGGGCGCAAGCCUGAUCCAGCAAUGCCGCGUGUGUGAAGAAGGCCUUCGGGUUGUAAAGCACUUUUGUCCGGAAAGAAAACCUCGUGGUUAAUACCCGUGGGGGAUGACGGUACCGGAAGAAUAAGCACCGGCUAACUACGUGCCAGCAGCCCGCGGUAAUACGUAGGGUGCGAGCGUUAAU